UUAAGUGACUAAGCGUACACGGUGGAUGCCUAGGCAGUCAGAGGCGAUGAAGGGCGUGCUAAUCUGCGAAAAGCGUCGGUAAGGUGAUAUGAACCGUUAUAACCGGCGAUACCCGAAUGGGGAAACCCAGUGCAAUUCGUUGCACUAUCGUUAAGUGAAUACAUAGCUUAACGAGGCGAACCGGGGGAACUGAAACAUCUAAGUACCCCGAGGAAAAGAAAUCAACCGAGAUUCCCCCAGUAGCGGCGAGCGAACGGGGAGGAGCCCAGAACCUGAANNNNNNNNNNNNNNNNNNNNNNNNNNNNNNNNNNNNNNNUAGUUGCAAGGUAUAGACCCGAAACCCGGUGAUCUAGCCAUGGGCAGGUUGAAGGUUGGGUAACACUAACUGGAGGACCGAACCGACUAAUGUUGAAAAAUUAGCGGAUGACUUGUGGCUGGGGGUGAAAGGCCAAUCAAACCGGGAGAUAGCUGGUUCUCCCCGAAAGCUAUUUAGGUAGCGCCUCGUGAACUCAUCUUCGGGGGUAGAGCACUGUUUCGGCUAGGGGGCCAUCCCGGCUUACCAAACCGAUGCAAACUCCGAAUACCGAAGAAUGUUAUCACGGGAGACACACGGCGGGUGCUAACGUCCGUCGUGAAGAGGGAAACAACCCAGACCGCCAGCUAAGGUCCCAAAGUCAUGGUUAAGUGGGAAACGAUGUGGGAAGGCAUAGACAGCCAGGAUGUUGGCUUAGAAGCAGCCAUCAUUUAAAGAAAGCGUAAUAGCUCACUGGUCGAGUCGGCCUGCGCGGAAGAUGUAACGGGGCUAAACCAUGCACCGAAGCUGCGGCAGCGACGCUUAGGCGUUGUUGGGUAGGGGAGCGUUCUGUAAGCCGUUGAAGGUGGCCUGUGAGGGUUGCUGGAGGUAUCAGAAGUGCGAAUGCUGACAUAAGUAACGAUAAAGCGGGUGAAAAGCCCGCUCGCCGGAAGACCAAGGGUUCCUGUCCAACGUUAAUCGGGGCAGGGUGAGUCGACCCCUAAGGCGAGGCCGAAAGGCGUAGUCGAUGGGAAACAGGUUAAUAUUCCUGUACUCGGUGUUACUGCGAAGGGGGGACGGAGAAGGCUAGGCUAGCCGGGCGACGGUUGUCCCGGUUUAAGCGUGUAGGGGGAGUGACCCGGUAAAUCCGGUUGCUUAUUCAACCCUGAGGCGUGAUGACGAUGCACNGCGGAUGGAGCUGAAGCCAGUCGCAGAUACCAGCUGGCUGCAACUGUUUAAUAAAAACACAGCACUGUGCAAACACGAAAGUGGACGUAUACGGUGUGACGCCUGCCCGGUGCUGGAAGGUUAAUUGAUGGGGUCAGCCGCAAGGCGAAGCUCUUGAUCGAAGCCCCAGUAAACGGCGGCCGUAACUAUAACGGUCCUAAGGUAGCGAAAUUCCUUGUCGGGUAAGUUCCGACCUGCACGAAUGGCGUAAUGAUGGCCAGGCUGUCUCCACCCGAGACUCAGUGAAAUUGAACUCGCUGUGAAGAUGCAGUGUACCCGCGGCAAGACGGAAAGACCCCGUGAACCUUUACUAUAGCUUGACACUGAACAUUGAGCCUUGAUGUGUAGGAUAGGUGGGAGGCUUUGAAGCGUGGACGCCAGUCUGCGUGGAGCCAACCUUGAAAUACCACCCUUUAAUGUUUGAUGUUCUAACUCGGCCCCAUAAUCUGGGGUGAGGACAGUGUCUGGUGGGUAGUUUGACUGGGGCGGUCUCCUCCCAAAGAGUAACGGAGGAGCACGAAGGUUAGCUAAUCACGGUCGGACAUCGUGAGGUUAGUGCAAAGGCAUAAGCUAGCUUGACUGCGAGAGUGACGGCUCGAGCAGGUACGAAAGUAGGUCUUAGUGAUCCGGUGGUUCUGAAUGGAAGGGCCAUCGCUCAACGGAUAAAAGGUACUCCGGGGAUAACAGGCUGAUACCGCCCAAGAGUUCAUAUCGACGGCGGUGUUUGGCACCUCGAUGUCGGCUCAUCACAUCCUGGGGCUGAAGUAGGUCCCAAGGGUAUGGCUGUUCGCCAUUUAAAGUGGUACGCGAGCUGGGUUUAGAACGUCGUGAGACAGUUCGGUCCCUAUCUGCCGUGGGCGUUGGAAGAUUGAGAGGGGUUGCUCCUAGUACGAGAGGACCGGAGUGAACGCACCACUGGUGUUCGGGUUGUCAUGCCAAUGGCACUGCCCGGUAGCUAAGUGCGGAAAAGAUAAGCGCUGAAAGCAUCUAAGCGCGAAACUUGCCUCGAGAUGAGUCUUCCCUGGGCCUUUAAGGCCCCUGAAGGAACGUUUAAGACUAAGACGUUGAUAGGCUGGGUGUGUAAGUGCAGCGAUGCAUUGAGCUAACCAGUACUAAUGAUCCGUGAGGCUUAACCUU
rnacentral:rRNA from 1 species